AGCUGAGCUAGGAGAGGUGGAGAGAUAAGCAGUACCAUUAAACAGAACUUAGUAGGGUGGGAGCAGCCGAGCUAGGAGAGGUGGAGAGAUAAGCAGUACCAUUAAACAGAACUUAGUAGGGUGGGGGGAGCAGCUGAGCUAGGAGAGGUGGAGAGAUAAGCAGUACCAUUAAACAGAACUUAGUAGGGUGGGGGAGCAGCCGAGCUAGGAGAGGUGGAGAGAUAAGCAGUACCAUUAAACAGAACUUAGUAGGGUGGGGGAGCAGCCGAGCUAGGAGAGGUGGAGAGAUAAGCAGUACCAUUAAACAGAACUUAGUAGGGUGGGAUGAGCAGCUGAGCUAGGAGAGGUGGAGAGAUAAGCAGUACCAUUAAACAUAACUUAGUAGGGUGGGAGCAGCCGAGCUAGAAGAGGUGGAGAGAUAAGCAGUACCAUUAAACAGAACUUAGUAGGAUGGGAGCAGCUGAGCUCGGAGAGGUGGAGAGAUAAGCUGUACCAUUAAACAGAACUUAGUAGGGGGGGAGCAGCUGAGCUAGGAGAGGUGGAGAGAUAAGCAGUACCAUUAAACAGAACUUAGUAGGGUGGGGGGGAGCUGCCGAGCUAGGAGAGGUGGAGAGAUAAGCAGUACCAUUAAACAGAACUUAGUAGGGGGGAGCAGCUGAGCUAGGAGAGGUGGAGAGAUAAGCAGUACCAUUAAACAGAACUUAGUAGGGGGGCAGCAGCCGAGCUAGGAGAGGUGGAGAGAUAAGCAGUACCAUUAAACAGAACUUAGUAGGGUGGGGGAGCAGCCGAGCUAGGAGAGGUGGAGAGAUAAGCAGUACCAUUAAACAGAACUUAGUAGGGGGGGAGCAGCCGAGCUAGGAGAGGUGGAGAGAUAAGCAGUACCAUUAAACAGAACUUAGUAGGGUGGGGGGAGCAGCUGAGCUAGGAGAGGUGGAGAGAUAAGCAGUACCAUUAAACAGAACUUAGUAGGGGGGGAGCAGCAGAGCUAGGAGUGGUGGAGAGAUAAGCAGUACCAUUAAACAGAACUUAGUAGGGGGGGGGAGCAGCCGAGCUAGGAGAGGUGGAGAGAUAAGCAGUACCAUUAAACAGAACUUAGUAGGGGGGGAGCAGCCGAGCUAGGAGAGGUGGAGAGAUAAGCAGUACCAUUAAACAGAACUUAGUAGGGUGGGGGGAGCAGCUGAGCUAGGAGAGGUGGAGAGAUAAGCAGUACCAUUAAACAGAACUUAGUAGGGUGGGGGAGCAGCCGAGCUAGGAGAGGUGGAGAGAUAAGCAGUACCAUUAAACAGAACUUAGUAGGGUGGGGGAGCAGCCGAGCUAGGAGAGGUGGAGAGAUAAGCAGUACCAUUAAACAGAACUUAGUAGGGUGGGGGGAGCAGCUGAGCUAGGAGAGGUGGAGAGAUAAGCAGUACCAUUAAACAUAACUUAGUAGGGUGGGAGCAGCCGAGCUAGAAGAGGUGGAGAGAUAAGCAGUACCAUUAAACCGAACUUAGUAGGAUGGGAGCAGCUGAGCUCGGAGAGGUGGAGAGAUAAGCUGUACCAUUAAACAGAACUUAGUAGGGGGGGAGCAGCUGAGCUAGGAGAGGUGGAGAGAUAAGCAGUACCAUUAAACAGAACUU